rnacentral:ncRNA from 2 species
CUCUUAUCCUGAGUGGUGGAGGGACAUGGACCCAACGAAACCCAGCAACCUCUUUUUAGUAAAGAAAGGUGCCAAACCGUUUGCAGACAUAUAUCGUCUGAACGAUAAGAG